rnacentral:misc_RNA from 1 species
UUUCCGUAGGUGAACCUGCGGAAGGAUCAUUAAAAAAUUGGACUCCAUUGGUGAGUUCAUUAAUAAUCCCUACCCUUUGUGAAUUUGUUUGUUUGAAUAAUUUUUUUUCCAAAAAAAAUUAUUGAAUGUCUUUCCUUGUUUUGGUGGAGCUUGUAAAGUGAAACCAGGCAGGGGAAUGGCAAACAAUAAUUAUUUUUGAAAAAGACCUUUUUUUAAAAUUAAACUUUUUGUAUUCAUUUGUCUAAAAUUAAUUUUUAUAAUAUAAAAACAACUUUUGACAAUGGAUCUCUUGGUUCUCGCAACGAUGAAGAACGCAGCAAAAUGCGAUAAGUAGUGUGAAUUGCAGAAUACGUGAAUCAUCGAAUCUUCGAACGCAUAUUGCACUUUUUUAGUUUACUAAAAAAGUAUGUCUGUUUGAGUAUCAGUAUAAUAUUCUCAUAAAAAACAUUGUUUUUUUUAUGGUUAUGAGUGUUUUACAACGAUAACAAGUUGUUUCACUUUAAAUUCUUUGUUAUCAAAAAAAUCAUUAAAAGCUAAUUUUAAAGAUUUUUUAAAAUUGGAUAAAAUCUUCCCGUAAAAAGGAAUGACCUAAACAAUUUUAAAAAAUUAAAAUUGGUUUGAUUUUUUUUGAAACCCAAAGGAAAAAAAAACGAAAUUAACUUGAUCUCAAAUCAGAUAAGAGUACCCGCUGAACUUAAGCAUAUCAAUAAGCGGAGGAAAAGAAACUAACUAGGAUUCCCUCAGUAACGGCGAGUAAAGCGGGAAGAGCUCAAAUUUGAAAUCUUCAAGGUUUUACCUUGACGAAUUGUAGUUUAAAGAAGUGUUUUCUGUUGGAGUUUUGGUAAAAGUUCUUUGGAAAAGGACAUCAUAGAGGGUGAGAAUCCCGUAUUUGACCAUUAUCUCCAGCUUUGUGAUACACUUUCAAAGAGUCGGAUUGUUUGGGAAUGCAGUCCAAAAUGGGUGGUAAAUUUCAUCUAAAGCUAAAUACUGGCGAGAGACCGAUAGCGAACAAGUACCGUGAGGGAAAGAUGAAAAGAACUUUGAAAAGGGAGUUAAACAGUACGUGAAAUUGUCAAAAGGGAAGCGUUUGACACCAGUGUUGUUUUCUCGAAAAUCAAUUAAAAAAGGCCGGAUUUUGUGUUGUAUUGACUUUAUCAGCUUUCUGCACUCUUUUCUUGUCUUUUUUAAUGCACUUUUCGUUUAACAAGUCAACAUCAAUUUCUUUUGUUGUAAAAGGGUCAUUGGAAGGUGGCUUUCUUUUCGGAGAAAGUGUUUAUAGCCUUUGGCCUCUGCAAUCGGAGAGAUUGAGGUCUGCAGCGUAGAUCCUUCGGGUUAGAUACAUUUGUGCUAAGUUAUAGCCUUUCAUAGACAACUUGUUGACUAUGAUCAGUCAUGUAGCUUACUCGCUUAUGCUAUUUUACCUACGCUUAGGAUGUUG